rnacentral:rRNA from 1 species
GAUGAACGCUGGCGGCGUGCCUAAUACAUGCAAGUCGAGCGCUGGAAGGGGACCUUUCUUUGCUUGAUGAGUUGGGCGGGGGGGUGAAACGCAUGGGUAUCCUGCCUGGUAGCGGGUGAGAUCUAUUGGAGACGAUAGAUAUUACCGCAGAAUAGAAGAUGAUGCAUGAGGUUCUCUUAAAAUAUGCAAUUCAGUUACUACUAGAUGGACCUGCCUUGUUUUAGUUAGUUGGUGAGAUAACGGCUCACUAAGGCAACGAUCCAUAGCAGCCCAGAGAGGAGGAUCGGCCACACGGGAACUGAGCACGGGUCCAGACUCCAACGGGAGGCAGCAGUGGGGAAUCUUGGGCAAUGGGCGAAGGCCGGACGGAGCAACGCCGCGGGUGUGAGGAAGGUCUUCGGAUGUUAAAACCCUUUGAAUAGGGAGAAAGAGUGGGAGAAUGAAAAGUUCACAUUUUGACGGUACCUAAACAGAAAGCCACGGCUAACUACGUG